CCUUUUCUCUCUCGGUGGCAUUCUGUGAUAGCAGCAGAAAAUAGAUCAUGACAUCCCCGUUUUAGCAGCAAAGAAACGGAAGUUCAGAGAAGUUAAGGAACUUGUGCAAACUUCAAAAUUAGGAAGUGGUGGAGCUGGAGUUUGUGCCCAGAGCCAAGGCUCUUCGUCAUUAUCCCAUAAGGUGUCUCCUCUAAGAAAAUCAAUGAGGACCAAAUGCAUCCAUUACUCAAAGAGCAAGACUUCCCGGGGAACUGGAGCCGUCAAAGAGGUUCUCUGUCGAGUCAUCCAUUUGAGGGAGCCCUGAGGAUGAGGACAGCAGCCUGUCAGAGACACCACGUGCAUUGAUUUCAGCAGAGUUCAAAAACUUUUCACCACAUCCUCUUGGAUAGGACAGAACUGAUUGGGGGUUCUGCUGGUCACACUACCACCUCCAAUGUAUGUGGGUGAAGGAGCGGAUGUCAAUCUUAGGGGGAUCUCUAACAUGCUGCCUUGAGACCAUGGACUUUCUCAUGCCCUGUUCAACAUUUUACAGUCUUCUUGCUGUUGAUAUAACCUAGUAGCACAGACUGGGUAGUUUAUAGAGAUCUGAGGUUCAUUUGGCUCACAGUUCUGGAAGCUGGGAAGCUCCAAAACCUGGAGCUAGUGUCUGUUCAGCACCUGGCGAGGGCCUUCCUGCUGCAUCCUACAGCGAGAAAGCAUGUGUACUAGAUGGGACCUUUCUUCCCCUUUCUAAAGAGCCACGAAUACCAUCAUGGUGUCCCCACACUCGUGGCCUCAUCUAAUCCUAAUUACCUUCCAAAGGCUCCACCUCUAAUAUCAUCACCAUAUCAAUUUGGGAACUCUCCAGCAGGUGGAUUGGGAAGGAACAUUCUAACCAUCGCAAAUCAGAAGCCAUGCUUAUCAUUGUGGACCUUGUUCACAGUGAGGCCCAGGGACAGCAGACAACUAGCAUUGAUAUGUCAAAUUCUGUGUUCCUAAGGACUCUGGGUGAGCUAGAGCCAUGGCCAAAAUAGGCAUCUGCCUGAGAGGCAGUCUCUCCUGAAAGCAGAACACAGGGCUCUGGCAGAAUUUCCCUCCACAGUCCCAGGCCCUGGGGUGAAAGUACAAAUGCAGGCCAGCCAGGCACAGGCCCAAAUAUGUACAAGUCAUAAAUCAAGCUACCAAACAGCUUCAUAAAUUGUGUCCUAUCCUCCUGCCUUGAGAAGUAUACCUUAUUGUCAAGCCCAGGGUCAAAUUCAGAACUCUUAAGACUGCUUGAGUCUCAGUGCAACAACCUGAUCCAACAGGGCGAGCCAGCCAGUAGCCCCCUUCCCCCAGAGGUCAACACAUCUUUCCAUUUUGUAACCUAUUCCUGGACUUUUGGGCGACAUAUCUGCAGUUGCUUCCUCUUUCCUGCCUCACCAGUUAUGUCUGCCAUCAGUCCAUUUACCUGGCUCUGCCCUCCAGCUUCUCUCCAGUUCCUCAGUUUCUUCAGGCAAACACUGGUCUGGUGCCUACUUCUGGCACCGCCCCCUGGGAUGCGAAGAGAACCUGGUCAGUGGCUCCCUGCUUUCCAGCUCCCGGGUCUUCUGUGGUGAUCACCACCUCACCCCGACUACCCUCACCAAUCCGAGGCUCUUGACCUCGAUCAUAACCAGCCAAAGCCUACUUCUGCAGAUUUGGGGCAGCUGGAGUAGGAGGGAGUCUCACCCACUAGCAAUGCAUUUCUUUGAAUUCCAGUGUUUUUAUUUUUAGAGUUUUACAUGCUUUAAAAGAAAAGGUCUGAUCAUUGAAAUAUGAUUUAUGUAGAACACGAACUUCAAAAUGCAUUUAAAAAAUAAACAUUCAGCUUUGUGAAUUGUUAAAACAUAAGAAUAUAAGAUAAACAAAUGCCCCUGACCCCUGCCUUGUGCCUCGCUAUCUUCUCUCCAAAGGGAACAAACCACUCUUCUGGCCACAGAUACUAUUGUUUGGUUUUGCUGGUUUUUAAAUUUAAUGUAAAUAGAACCAAAGACUAUAAAUUCAUUUAUGCAUGGCUUCUUUCAUUCAAUAUGUAUAUGAGAUUCAUCUGCGACACUGUGUGUUGUUCUUGGUCACCAAUUUUUAAUGCUAGGUAGUAUUCCUAUUAUAGGAGUGCAUCUAAGUUUAUGUAUGCAUCUCAUUGAUGAUGACGUUGUACCCGAUGGUUGGUUGUUUAUCAACAACACGGCAAUAAACAUUCUUGUAAAUA